CCUACGGGGGGCAGCAGUGAGGAAUACUGGUCAAUGGCCGAGAGUCUGAACCAGCCAAGUAGCGUGAAGGAUGACUGCCCUAUGGGUUGUAAACUUCUUUUGUAUGGGAAUAAAAUGUUCCACGUGUGGGUUUUUGUAUGUACCUUAUGAAUAAGGAUCGGCUAACUCCGUGCCAGCAGCCGCGGUAAUACGGAGGAUCCGAGCGUUAUCCGGAUUUAUUGGGUUUAAAGGGAGCGUAGGUGGAUUGUUAAGUCAGUUGUGAAAGUUUGCGGCUCAACCGUAGAAUUGCAGUUGAAACUGGCAGUCUUGAGUACAGUAGAGGUGGGCGGAAUUCGUGGUGUAGCGGUGAAAUGCUUAGAUAUCACGAAGAACUCCGAUUGCGAAGGCAGCUCACUGGACUGCAACUGACACUGAGGCUCGAAAGUGUGGGUAUCGAACAGGAUUAGAUACCCGAGUAGUC
rnacentral:rRNA from 1 species